rnacentral:rRNA from 1 species
CGAGCGCAACCCUCGCCUCUAGUUGCCAGCAUUCGGUUGGGCACGUCUAGAGGGACUGCCGGCGACAAGUCGGAGGAAGGUGGGAUGACGUCAAAUCAUCAUGCCCCUUAUGACCUGGGCUACACACGUGCUACAAUGGGCGGUACAAAGGGCUGCGAACCCGCGAGGGGGAGCGAAUCCCAAAAAAGCCGCUCUCAGUUCGGAUUGCAGGCUGCAACUCGCCUGCAUGAAGCCGGAAUCGCUAGUAAUCGCGGAUCAGCAUGCCCGCGGUCGAAUACGUCCGGCCUU